rnacentral:lncRNA from 1 species
AAGCCCUGGGUUUCACGCACACCCGGAGCCCCUGGGGUGAUUCUGAGUACAUCCUAGUGAUUUUUUUUCAAAGAUAUAACUCCAUUCUCAGCACAAGGACCACUGAGUGCUCUCUGGUCCUGUAGCCAGCAUAGAGAAAGCAAGCCUCAGUCUUGAGCAGAAGAUAAGGAGCAGAAUGACCUUGCAUCUUCCGUCCAUACACCUGAGGUUAACAGUCAAGGAACCUGAGGCCAGGUGGGAUCAGAGCACACAGGGUUGGUGCCCGUGGCACUGCUGGACUCGGAGCUGCAGAACCACCAUGUCCUCUCUCCUUAUCACCCUCCACAUGCUCCUUUUUGGGAUGGAUUUUGAAGAGUCAGCAGAGAGCAAUUGAGGUGCUGCCGCAUCCUUGCCAGAAGUUAACAGGCCCUGACACUGCUCACCCCGGUGCUGAGAGGCAUCAGGAGCUUCAGCACUGAGUUUGCAUGCAGCCCCGUGGGUCCCCAGCUGCCAACAUUCACGUUUCAGCCCAAGAUUUCCCAUCCAUGCUAAGCAUAUUGCUGGCAAGGGCCACGUUGCUCAAUGACCAUGCUUUCCAUGCAAGGAUGAAUUCAUAGCUACAAAGGUCACAGGAUAGCAUGGUUUGGGUUGGAAGAGGCCUCUAAAUACCACUUAGUUCCCUUGCUGUUUGCAUGGACGUCCCAUAGACCCCAAAGCCCCAUCCAAGCCAGCCUUGAGCACUUCCAGGGAUGGGGCACCCACACUUCCCUGGGCAGCAGUGCCAGGGUCUCACUGUCCCCAUAGUACAGCAUUUCUUCAUUAUAUGUGCUACCCAACCAGAUGCACCCAGAGAUACUGGGACAGCAGGGAAAUGGAGUCCCAGGCUCCUUUUGGAGCCCCAAGCCCAUCACUCACUGUUUUAAUUGAGAUGCCAAAGCCAAGGUAAGAUGCUGAACCUCCUAGGCUUGUGUUCAUUUCUGGUAAGUAACGACUAUUAGUAUUCAGGCCAGAGACCUCACAGCAUCAUACAGUUCAAUAUUUUCUGCCCCUGUAACAAAGGCAAUCCAUUUUGUAUGCAGAAUGCAGGAGUGCAACCUUUUGUUACGUGAGUUUCUUAAAUUUUUAUCUCAAAAAUCAAUGAAGGAAUUGGAAUUCCUCGUCUCAUUGUAUAGGCAGGAGAAAAAGGGAGAGAGCAUGAGGGAAAAUGAUGAAAGAGGGGGAAAAGGGGGGAA